rnacentral:rRNA from 1 species
UUCGAUUUUAGCAUGGAAUAAUGGAAUCGGACCGCGGUUCUAUUUUGUUGGUUUUCGGAACUGAGGCCAUGAUUAAGAGGGACGGCCGGGGGCAUUCGUAUUGCGCCGCUAGAGGUGAAAUUCUUGGACCGGCGCAAGACGGACCAGAGCGAAAGCAUUUGCCAAGAAUGGUUUCAUUAAUCAAGAACGAAGGUCGGAGGUUCGAAGACGAUCAAAUACCGUCGUAGUUCCGACCAUAAACGAUGCCGACCGGCGAUGCGGCGGCGUUAUUCCCAUGACCCGCCGGGCAGCUUCCGGGAAACCAAAGUCUUUGGGUUCCGGGGGGAGUAUGGUUGCAAAGCUGAAACUCAAAGGAAUCGACGGAAGGGCACCACCAGGAGUGGAGCCUGCGGCUUAAUUUGACUCAACACGGGAAACCUCACCCGGCCCGGACACGGACAGGAUUGACAGAUUGAUAGCUCUUUCUCGAUUCCGUGGGUGGUGGUGCAUGGCCGUUCUUAGUUGGUGGAGCGAUUUGUCUGGUUAAUUCCGAUAACGAACGAGACUCUGGCAUGCUAACUAGUUACGCGACCCCCGAGCGGUCGGCGUCCCCCAACUUCUUAGAGGGACAAGUGGCGUUCAGCCACCCGAGAUUGUGCAAUAACAGGUCUGUGAUGCCCUUAGAUGUCCGGGGCUGCACGCGCGCUACACUGACUGGCUCAGCGUGUGCCUACCCUACGCCGGC